AGCCCUCGUGGGUGUGGAUCUUGCAGAUGCCACUGGCCAACCUUAGGAACUUGGAGGAACUGGACACUGGAGAAAUCUACGCUAGAAUAGUUGGCUCAUGAUAUAGAGUAUAGAUAU